rnacentral:rRNA from 1 species
UAAAGGAGAGAUCCGGCAUAGGAUGGACAUGCGUCGCAUUAGGUAGACGGCGGGGUAACGGCCCACCGUGCCGACGAUGCGUAGGGGUUCUGAGAGGAAGGCCCCCCACACUGGUACUGAGACACGGACCAGACUCCUACGGGAGGCAGCAGUGAGGAAUAUUGGUCAAUGGCCGAGAGGCUGAACCAGCCAAGUCGCGUGAGGGAAGAAUGUCCUAAGGAUUGUAAACCUCUUUUGUCGGGGAGCAAAAAGGCUCUGCGGAGUCGUAUUGAGAGUACCCGAAGAAAAAGCAUCGGCUAACUCCGUGCCAGCAGCCGCGGUAAUACGGAGGAUGCGAGCGUUAUCCGGAUUUAUUGGGUUUAAAGGGCGCGCAGGCGGCGUGUCAAGCAAGCGGUAAAAUAGCGGGGCUCAACCCCGUCGAGCCGUUUGAACUGGCGCGCUUGAGUUCAGGCGAGGUAGGCGGAAUUCGUGGUGUAGCGGUGAAAUGCAUAGAUAUCACGAAGAACUCCGAUUGCGAAGGCAGCUUACCAGUCUGCGACUGACGCUCAGGCACGAAAGUGUGGGUAUCGAACAGGAUUAGAUACCCUGGUAGUCCACACAGUAAACGAUGAGCGCUAGGUGUCCGGGUCGCAUGAGACUUGG